rnacentral:rRNA from 1 species
GACAGAGGAGCCAAGCGUUGUCCGGAUUGACUGGGCGUAAAGCGCACGCAGGCGGAUGCGCGCGUGGGGUGUGAAAUCUGGCCGCUUAACGGCCAGGCGCCAUCCCAUACGGCGCGUCUGGAGUGAUGCAGAGGUCGAUGGAAUUGCCGGUGUAGUGGUGAAAUGCGUAGAUAUCGGGAGGAACACCAGUGGCGAAGGCGACUACCUGGCCUGUUUCUUGACGCUGAGGCGCGAAAGCUAGGGGAGCAAACGGG